UACGUAGGGUCCGAGCGUUGUCCGGAAUUACUGGGCGUAAAGAGCUCGUAGGUGGUUUGUCGCGUUGUUCGUGAAAACUCACAACUCAAUUGUGGGCGUGCGGGCGAUACGGGCAGACUUGAGUACUGCAGGGGAGACUGGAAUUCCUGGUGUAGCGGUGGAAUGCGCAGAUAUCAGGAGGAACACCGGUGGCGAAGGCGGAUCUCUGGGCCAUUACUGACGCUGAGGAGCGAAAGCGUGGGGAGCGAACAGG
rnacentral:rRNA from 1 species